rnacentral:rRNA from 1 species
UAGGGAAUUUUUUCACAAUGGGGCGAAAGCCUGAUGGAGCAAUACCGCGUGGAUGAUGAAGGUCUUCGGAUCGUAAAAUCCUUUUAUAAGGGACGAAUGGUUUUAGUAGGAAAUGACUAGAAUUUGACUGUACCUUUUGAAUAAGUAACGGCAAACUAUGUGCCAGCAGCCGCGGUAAUACAUAGGUUACAAGCGUUAUCCGGAUUUACUGGGCGUAAAGCGAGCGCGGGCUGAUUAAUAAGUCUGGUGUGAAAUGCAAUUGCUUAACAAUUGUUUGCAUUGGAAACUAUUAUUCUAGAGUGUGAUAGGGAGUUCUGGAACUCCAUGUGGAGCGGUGGAAUGCGUAGAUAUAUGGAAGAACACCUGUGGCGAAAGCGAGAACUUAGGUCACAACUGACGCU